ACUAUGGAGAGUUUGAUCCUGGCUCAGGAUGAACGCUAGCGGCAGGCCUAAUACAUGCAAGUCGAACGGGAUCCAUCUGUAGCUUGCUA
rnacentral:ncRNA from 1 species